rnacentral:rRNA from 1 species
AUAUCAUUAAGCGGAGGAAAAGAAACCAACCGGGAUUCCCUUAGUAACGGCGAGUGAAGCGGGAAAAGCUCAAAUUUGAAAUCUCCCAUCAGGGCGAAUUGUAGUUUAUAGAGACGUUUUCGGAGGCGGUUUGGGUGCAAGUCUGUUGGAAUGCAGCGCCAUAGAGGGUGACAGCCCCGUAGUGCCCGACAUACCGCUUCUAUGUGAUACGUUUUCUAAGAGUCGGGUUGUUUGGGAUUGCAGCCCAAAAUGGGUGGUAAAUUCCAUCUAAAGCUAAAUAUUGGCGAGAGACCGAUAGCGCACAAGUA